GUUUGGUUAUUAUUUCUCCUCUUUCAUUUCUGAUUUUAUUUAUUUGUGUCCUUUCUUUUUUUCUCUUUCUUGAUUUUCUUUCUUUUUUUUAAAAUGACUCUUGCUAAAGGUCCAUCAAUAUGUUGAUCUUUUCAAAGAACCAGUUCAGCUCUGGAUUUCAGUGAUCUAUUUUAUUCUUGUUUUGUUUUUUCAUUUCUGUGUUUAUUUCUGCUCUAAUUGUUAUUAUUUCCUUUCUCUUACUGGUUUUAGAUUUUGUUCAUUCUUCUUCUAGCUUCUUUAGGUGUAAGUUUAAGUUGUUUAUUUGAAGUUUCUCUUUUUGAAUUAUGCCUGCAUUGCUGUAAACUUCCUUCUUAGAAAGUUUUUGCUGAAUCUCAAAGAUUUUGGACCAUUGUGUUUUCAUUUUUAUCUUUCCAUGUAUUUUUUGAUUUCCUCUUUGAUUUCUUUUUUUUUUUUGCUUCAUUUAUAAUUUAUUAGCUCUUCCAGUGUUUCACAGUGAUACAGGGGUUUCAAUGAUUAACACCAGUGGGACAAAAGGUGGACCUACACAAAUGUCUUGAUUCAAUCAGACUAUUAUUGAUGGAAAUUUUUGGCCUAUUGUAAGUAGUAUUAGGCAAUCUUCCAUCCAGGCACUCUCCUAGCUCACAGGGGGGAAUGUAAAUGUCCUUAAAGCUGAACAAUAGUAAGCCCGUGGUUUGAUGAUUACACUAUCUCAUACUGGUUAUUUGUUAUGGUGCGAGAGAGGCAGUAGGCUAGAAAGACUCCAACCAGCUGAAAGCAAGCAACUCCAAAAAAAAUUCCCGCAACCACUCCCAUUUCUGACUCUAUUAUGGUCAUCACCUUUAUAAAACAACCAAGUUUUAGCAUCCAUGCAGAAGCUCGGCAGGUAGCAAAACAGCCAAAGGUGCCCAAAAGAAUGAUGACAGUGCCAGUGCCAAUGAGCAUGAAGGGGACAUUGGUGGCCUUCUCAUUUAAAAGGGAAAAAUAAUUCUCCAGGCUCACCUUGCCCCAAAUGCCAAUGGCAAGAAGGAUUACGCCAGUGAUCCAGAAGAUGAAAGUGUAGAUCAAGAGGCGCUCUUGAAACAAGUAAUGACUGGUUUGGUCUGCAGUCUCUGAGACGGGGACGCCAUGAGUAGCCCACGACCCUGCACCAACCGCACCAGGCGCCUCCUCUUUGAUUUCUUAAUUGGCCUAUUCAUUGUUUAGUAGCAUGUUGUUUAACCUUCGUAUAUUUGUGAUUUUUCCAGUUGUUUGUUUUGUGGUUGAUUUCUAGUUUCAUAGAAUUGUGGUUGGAAAGAUGCAUGGUAUGAUUUAAAUCGUUUUAAUUUGUUGAGAGUUCUUUUGUGGCCUAU
rnacentral:lncRNA from 12 species